UUCUGGGUUCCUAUUCGUCAUCGGUUUGUGCGUCGGUUGCUGUUGGGCCAAUCGUUGUGUCGCAAUCUGGUCCUGUCGCUGUUGUUGCGUGCGUGCCGCUGUUGCCUCGGUGGGUCUUUCUUUCGUUACGUGCUGUUUUGUUUCUUUCCGAUGGAGCGGUGCCGCUUUGCAGCGUUGGUUCGGGAGUCCGCUAGAUCGAUGCCGCUUUUCUGCGUUCCUUCAUCUGGAGGAUUCUUUAGCUUUUCAUGAAUAGACUUCCACCGUCGUCCACCGCCCACCGCCCACCGAUCCAUCGUCGCUGCUCUACAAGCUAUAAAAGGAUCUCCUCGGUGUCCCUCCAUUAGCAUCGUCUCCACGGCCCUUGCUCGAUCUCUAUAGAAGUUGUGUUCUUCUGUUUCUUUUCACUCACCACAAUCAAGCCAUACGGGGAGCGCAACCGUUGAAAAAGGCGAGCAGGCGAGGUUGAUCUUGAUGGCGUCCAACUCCUCGCCGGCAAGGCCGUCCCAUGGGGAGCGCCGCCUGUCUCUCCCCAGGCACGCGGCCUGUCCUCUCCAGCGUUGGUUCUCCAUCCCUCUGCCUCCCGGUAUGUGGGACACGCUGUGUCCCUCGCCUCGCACCCUUCUUCUUAAUCAGUCAUGUGCAAGGGAGGGCCGGCGGUACGGUUUGGCUUUGGAAGUCGGCCAUCAAAUCCUGCUAUACAACGCUGGUGAGAUGCAACACCAAAUAUUUGAGUAGCGGCCAUGGUGGCUGCAGGGCCCCGACCUGCUCUUCGAUCCUUUUCUCUUCUUUUUCUUCUGAGAUGGAAUGGUGCUCUGUACGCCGCAUCCCCGAGCAUGCCCUACCAUGGUCGGAUCCUAGCGGUCUGCGGCCUUCCUUGACGAGCGGCGUCACGGUCCAUGGCGUUGGUGGAGGCGACGAUCGAGACGGCGGGCAGAGACAACACGGAACCCUGGAUGUUGUGCACCUGGCAAUGAGGAUCACGACCGACGAGCGGAUGGACGACAAUACCGCGGAGCUAUUGCUCUGCGACCAGCUGCUAUUAGCGCCACCCGGUAGUUAAUGCCGGCCACCCGCCACGCGCCUCGCGCUGCGUAGUUUUGGUAACCUCGAGCGCCUGUAGCUCUUCACCCAUGGCAUGAAGUUGGAGCGGGCAAAGCUCCAGCGGUUCGCCUUCUCCCUGUCUGCACAGGAGAAGCAGGACCUACGGGAGAUGAUCUCUAGACACUGCAGGAAUUCAUAUGGACCGCCACCAAUUUUAUUUGAAGAUAACCGUGAAAUGCAUACAGAAGAAACUAAAAAGAUAGAAGUAUACAGAGAUCAUUGAUUCUCAUAGUCACUUACCCACCAAGAAAUCUACAUGAUAGUUUCUUUUGUAAAAUGUAUAUAAUUUUGUUUUUAUUUCUCACAGUUUGUUUAUUUCCGUUGCCUUAUCUUCAGUUAAGCACGUAUUUUUUUAGAAGUUAACCGGAUCUUAGUAUCCUCUUUAUGUACAGGCCAAGUAAAUUUUAUAGGUUCAAUUAUUAAUUGUUGCACAUAGUUGGAUUUGUUUCUAAGUUCUGCUUUAUUCUAUAACAGUAGGGAUGUAGUUCUCCAGAGUUCAGUGCUAUGAUUAAGUAAUUCAUGUAAUGAGUAAAUAGGUGACACUCAAAUUGUCAGAAUGUGCUUAGUGUAGUACAUAAAUAAUCCUACAGAUGAGUUACUUGUAUAGCACUUUCUGUGGAUUGCAGGUUUGUAAUGCUUAUUGUGUUUCUAGGUCUGUACAGCACGUAGGAUCUUGCAAAGAGAGAUAAUUUUGAAGUUAUUUCGUAUUUGCUA